rnacentral:rRNA from 1 species
CUACGGAGGGUGCAAGCGUUACUCGGAAUCACUGGGCGUAAAGCGCGCGCAGGCGGCUAUUUAAGUUGGAUGUGAAAGCCUACGGCUCAACCGUAGAACUGCAUCCAAAACUAUUUAGCUAGAGUGUGGGAGAGGAAGAUGGAAUUAGUUGUGUAGGGGUAAAAUCCGUAGAGAUAACUAGGAAUACCAAAAGCGAAGGCAAUCUUCUGGAACACUACUGACGCUGAGGCGCGAAAGCGUGGGGAGCAAACGGGAUUAGAAACCCGAGUAGUCC